AAACAAGCAUAAUUUUAGAUUUUAUUGUUAAAUUGAACUCAAAUUUUACCAAAUAAUUUUAUAGAUUAAGUUCUACAACCUAGCCACAACUGGUUUUUAUUUUUAUUUUCAGGCUAGAUGUAGCUUAAAUAUACGGGCUGAGCUAGAUCCAUCCGGCUAAACUCAGUCACUGGCACGAGCCAGUUAUCCGGUUGGGCAACAGGCACAUUCACGCAUGCUCUCCACAGUGCAAUGGUAAUUAUAAAUAUCUUCGCACAAUGUGAAAUGAAUCGAAGAUGCAAAGCGGGAAAAUGAAGAACUUACCUGGUCUGGAGACGAAGGGAUGAAGACGAUGGCAACGGUCAGCCAUGUUGGGCAUCAUUCAGAAUAGAAUUUGAGAGCCAUGAGUGGGUUAUAUGGUCGUUACUUGUUGGUACUGGAUAGGAUUUUGAGAGAGAUAUGUCUUAGUUCUUAUGAUUAUUGAAGGUUAAGAAGGUCAGGUGAUUUAGAGUAGAAGGCUUUAUUGGAGAAAGAAGAAGAAGAAGCAGAACUGGAAUGUUAUGUUAUGGAAAAGUCUGAUAUUGUGAGGGGAAAGAGAGGGCAGAGGUCGGGGCAGGGACAGUUCUCACAGUUAUAUUAUCAAACAGGUGGAGUGCAAAGAAAUGUUAGUUUGUAAAUUAUGUCUCAAGGAUGUGAUUUUCUGUCACCACUCGAAGAAAAGCAGAGGCAGAGAAGAAUUCAUUACAUAUCAUUCUAUUCAACUCCACGUCAUCGUUCAUGUUCUUUUUUGUUGAAAACGUGUUGGGAAUGGUUAGAAAAAGUUAACGAUGGAGCUAUGUUGUUAACACAAUUAUUUAGUUGAUUUUCGCUUCAGUUAAAUUAAUUAAGAUAUUAUUUAACUGAUAUAUUAUUUAAAUUUUAAGUUUGAAAUUGAAAUUGAAUAAAAAUAUUACUUAAUUAA